CCCGGAGACACAAUCCGCAGCCCCUGGGUCUGUGCAGUGACCAGCCAGUCCCCUGAGAACUUUCCCCUCCAGCACCCGGGAAAAUGCGAUUUUUGCUCCUUGUAAUUUUCACUGUAGCGGUUUUGGAAGGUGUCCGGUCCCAGGUGCAGCUGGUGGAGUCCGGAGGGGAUGUGAAAAAGCCUGGAGACUCUCUCCGCCUCUCCUGCAAAGCCUCCGGGUUCACCUUCAGCAGCUCCUGGAUGAGCUGGGUCCGACAGGCUCCCGGGAAGGGACUUGAAUGGGUCUCUGCUAUAAGCUCCGGUGGGAGUACAUAUUACCCUGAUUCAGUGAAAGGCCGAUUCACCAUCUCCAGGGAUAAUUCCAAGAGUGAGCUGUAUCUGCAACUGACCGGCCUGAAGCCCGAGGACACCGCCCGCUAUUACUGUGCGAGACACACAGUGAGGGGAAGCCGGUCUGAGCUCAGACAAAAACCUCUCCCUGCAGUAAUCAGAGAAGCAGUUUGGUGUUGGGGGCGCCCAAGGCCUGUCAGUGAAAAUGAGAUCUGUUAUGGGAAGAGGCGAGCAACAACAAACCCUUUUAUUGUUAUUAUCAUUCCUCCUGUUUGA